GGAAGUUUGAGGCCGGCCGCUUGGUGGCGCCUGUGGCCGCAGGGAUUUGACUGGGCCUUCUCUAGCUUUCCCCGGUUUGCUGCACUUGACGCUGCAGGGCGGGCGGGGUAAAGAAGGGAGCGAGCCCUUCUCAAGCUUGGAAAGUUUCCAGACUGCUGGGCCAGCCUCCUCCCCAGAGGGAAACUGAGGUCCGAUUGAGGUUUCUCCAAGACCGCCCACUCCUGCUCCUGUCCCCAAACCCCUUUCUGCCUAGGGUUCCUGGAAGCCAAGGAAACAGAACGAACUGUUCCCUGGGUGGGCGAGCCACUGCAGAGUACAAAGCUUUCAGGCCGCCUGCCUCAUUAGCACUAAUGGCUGCUCCCUUCCGCCCUGUGUCGUCAGGACUGUCUAUGCCUGGUCUCAUCAGCACAAGGCUGGGGUAAGGACUGCCCUUUUGUGGAGAUGGCAGGACAUACAGGACCCUGCUGCCCCUGCCUUCCCUCACCCCACUGCAGAGCUGUUUAUCACACACGUGUCCAUCUGGGAAAGGAAUGCAGGCUGAAUCAGCUUUGAGAGGAUCGCAAGGCCCCAGUGCACAAACUGGGUUGGCACAAGGCAGUGGAAAAAAGAUGAAGGGGGCCAGUAACAGCUGAAGAAGUCCCAGGAGUCCUCCCAUGUCCUCUCAGCAACCCAGGCUGGAGCCUACUCCUUGGUGUUGGCAAAGGAAACCGUCUUUGAAGCCAGAGGGAGCCCUGAAUUCAUGCAGAGGAGUUUUUCUACCUUCCAUCUGCUUCUGCAUAUCAUCUUGUCUACUUAAUGCCCCUCCUUCCGGAUUUAUAGAACAGUAUGCAUAAUAUGACCCCAACUGCAUUCCAAAAAAUAGAUGUAGAUGUAAGCUUAGAGAUGCAAAGAAACUUUUUGAGAGAAUUCACUAUGCUUCUCGCGGGUGGUGACACAGUUCAAGGAGGUUCCAUGGGGUGUAAUGUUUAUCUUUCUCUUUUGUCCUUCUGAUCAUUGAAAUGAUGCUUUGUGUGUGUGAACAUGUAUUACUUUUAUAAUUAAAAUAGAAAAAUUAAUUUGAAUGGGACAAAUGCUCGAAGUCAAAGUCACCUGUUAUAACUGCUGUCACUAACAGGGCAACUGUUUGAAAAUGCUGCAGAAACAUGAGAAAUGUUCAUGAAGUGACCCUGUGGAGGCUUCCGGUCACAGGAUCAUGUGAGCGCCACGAUCACCCCAGGGGUGGAGCAGAUGCUAAGUGUUCACCACACCCAAUUCUCUUCCUGGACACACAGGAAGAUGACAUUUCCAGUGACAUGCCCCACCUCUAGGCCCUAGUCUUUUUUUUAUUUAAAGGUCUGAGUCUUGUUCUGUCACCCAGGCUGGAGUGCAGUGCUGUGAUCAUGACUCACUGCAGCCUCAACCUCCUGUGCUCAAACAAUCCUCCCACCUCAGCCUCCCUAAUAGCUGAUGUCAUAUAGGCAUGAGCCAGUGUGCCUGGCUCAGGCCCUACCCUUAAAAGCAUCCCACCUGAUUCACCAGCCCCCUUCUCUCUCUCAGUAAACUUGGAAACCACGCAUUCCAGAUGGUAUAAUUUACAGCAUGAUGGAAAAAGCCAGCUCUCCAUGGGAAGCUGGCCAGUCUUCAUUGGAGUACAUUUUUAUUGCAUGAAGCCAAUGAGACUUGAUAUUGUUUAACUCUGUGGUUUCCAAAGUGCGGUCCUUUUGAAGUAUCCAUAAAGUCUACACUAGGUUCACGGUAAUAUUAAGAUGUUAUUUGUCAGCUGGGCACGGUGGCUCACGCCUAUAAUCUCAGCACUUUGGGAGGCCAAGGCAAAUGGAUAAUGAGGUCAG
rnacentral:lncRNA from 1 species